UAGCGUUAUUCGGAAUUACUGGGCGUAAAGCGCACGUAGGCGGCUUUGUAAGUAAGAGGUGAAAGCCUGGUGCUCAACACCAGAACUGCCUUUUAGACUGCAUCGCUUGAAUCCAGGAGAGGUGAGUGGAAUUCCGAGUGUAGAGGUGAAAUUCGUAGAU
rnacentral:rRNA from 1 species